rnacentral:rRNA from 1 species
UACGGAGGGUGCAAGCGUUAUCCGGAUUCACUGGGUUUAAAGGGUGCGUAGGUGGGUUGGUAAGUCAGUGGUGAAAUCUCCGUGCUUAACAUGGAAACUGCCAUUGAUACUACUGAUCUUGAAUUUUCCGGAGGUAAGCGGAAUAUGUCAUGUAGCGGUGAAAUGCUUAGAUAUGACAUAGAACACCAAUUGCGUAGGCAGCUUACUACAGGGACAUUGACACUGAGGCACGAAAGCGUGGGGAUCAAACAGG